GACGAACGCUGGCGGCGUGCCUAAUACAUGCAAGUAGAACGCUGAAGAGAGGAGCUUGCUCUUCUUGGAUGAGUUGCGAACGGGUGAGUAACGCGUAGGUAACCUGCCUUGUAGCGGGGGAUAACUAUUGGAAACGAUAGCUAAUACCGCAUAACAAUGGAUGACACAUGUCAUUUAUUUGAAAGGGGCAAUUGCUCCACUACAAGAUGGACCUGCGUUGUAUUAGCUAGCAGGUGAGGUAAUGGCUCACCUAGGCGACGUUACAUAGCCGACCUGAGAGGGUGAUCGGCCACACUGGGACUGAGACACGGCCCAGACUCCUACGGGAGGCAGCAGUAGGGAAUCUUCGGCAAUGGGGGCAACCCUGACCGAGCAACGCCGCGUGAGUGAAGAAGGUUUUCGGAUCGUAAAGCUCUGUUGUAAGUCAAGAACGGGUGUGAGAGUGGAAAGUUCACACUGUGACGGUAGCUUACCAGAAAGGGACGGCUAACUACGUG
rnacentral:rRNA from 1 species